AAAUAUAUACACAAUAUUAUGAAAUAUAAUAAUUAACGUAAAUGGUUUUAUAAACGAGUCCACUCAUGAGUUUAUUCAACGAGUUAGCUCAGGAGCCUAUUUAACAAGCCAACUCGCAAAUCUGUUCAGCGAGCCAACUUGUGAGCUUAUAAAUGAGCCAAGCCAAAUACUAUUGAGCUCAAACUUAGUUCGUUUAUUAAAUGAGCUUAAAAUUCGAGCUUGAGCUUAGUUUGUUUAGGAAACGAACCAAACCGAGCCGAACUUUUAUCGAACCAAGUUUCAAGCAGCUUGCGAUUAGCUUGGUUCAUUUACACCCCUCAUAAAUCAUAUCUAUUUAGGAAUAUAAAUCCUACACUAAAUAGGAAUAUAUAAAUUAUUUGCUUUUCAUAACGCUUUAGUUGGAGCAUGAUAUCUCAUCAAUUCCAUCAUGUGGAUUACACUCAGUUGAAUGAUAAAUAAGUUUUUCGCCAUUAUCUUAAUCUUAUCAAUGUCCAAAGUUAUUCCUGGAAAGGUAUCUUGAAUUUGCAUGUGAUGUUAGGCUACCAUAAAAUUGUCUUGAACUUCUACUCAAAUGAUGAAUCCUUGUGCCAUUGAUGCAAAGAAAUACAAUGAGGAAUCUAUUUUUAUCAUUGGUUGAGGUUAUGGAGUCUGGGAUUGAUAUUUCUAUUAACAAAACAUCAAUGGAUUGCCCUGCUUGUAAUCAACUGGAGGGACAUGACUGCCCAGUACUAGAAUAGUCAUCACUUCUGUUAAUCUUCAUUUGCUGUUCAUUUUAUUUCCCUUUAAUUUUUUUCUGUGAUUUUUUUUUUUCUGAUUUAUUUGAAUUAAAAUGGUAGAUUCGACCUUUUCUGCCUUGAAAUCCAAAAUUUCCCCAAAUGCCUUUUAGGUUGUUUCUUCCUCUAAAAUGUAUUCAUCAUCAAUUUAUUUUCGCAAGUCCUAAUUCCUUGUCCUUGCUACUUCAAUGCCAUUGUCUUGCAGGUUUUCAUUUUGAUACAGAGGAUGGUGAUAAAGUACUUCCUGGUUUCCUUAAUUCAAUAAUUGGAAUCCAACGAGGAGAAAAAAAAUCCUUCCCUCUUGUGUUUCCUGAAUCAUGGAGCCAAGCAAGUCUUCGUGGUGUUCAUGCUCAAUUUACU
rnacentral:misc_RNA from 1 species